UACAGAGGGUGCGAGCGUUAAUCGGAAUUACUGGGCGUAAAGCGCACGUAGGCGGCUUGGUAUGUCGGGUGUGAAAUCCCCGGGCUCAACCUGGGAACUGCAUCCGAAACUGCCUUGCUAGAGUAUGGGAGAGGGAAGUGGAAUUUCCGGUGUAGCGGUGAAAUGCGUAGAUAUCGGAAGGAACAUCAGUGGCGAAGGCGGGUCUCUGGGCAACAACUGACGCUGAGGAGCGAAAGCGUGGGGAGCGAACAGG
rnacentral:rRNA from 1 species